CGCGCCCGCUUCGGAUGUUAUCAACCCAUGUUCAUUCUUCAGAUCAUCACUACGCAGUGGUGAAUUCAUGAUGAGCUGCGUCCUUGUGUGGCCCGGCAGAUUGGCGAGGACUGCUAAGGAGAUCAACAAGACUCUGCAAAACAUCCACAAACCUCCAGUCAGGAGACGCGCAAAAUGUGAAGUGUAGGACUUCUAGAAUAAAUAUUUCCCACACUGGC